rnacentral:lncRNA from 1 species
ACCAGAUACAAAUAUAUACCCCAAAGCUAUGCCUCCAAUGCCCCACCUCCUCCAUUUACCAAUCAUUUAAUUCCUUCAGGCGAUUAAUUCACUGAUUAGGUUAAGGCUCUCACAACCAGAUCAUUUCUUCUCUGAACUUUCUUGCAUUGUCUUAUCUGUGAGAUUCUGGGGGACACCUCACAUCUACACCAUAACAUUCUAUCCCUGGACCCCAAAAGCUUACACUCAUCCGGUAAUGCAAAAUACAUUUAAUCCACUCCCAAGAGUCCCCAUAAUCUCAAGAGUUCUGAUAUUUGGUCAAAAUUCAUGUCCAAAGUCUUCUCUGAGACUCAAGGUGAUCUCACUUUGUGAGCGCCUAUAAAAUUAAAAGCGAUUUACAAAUAUUCAGUAUAUAAAGGCACUGAGUAAACAUUUUUCAUUUACAAAAAUCGGGCAUAGAAAGAAGGAAUGGGACCAAAGCAAGACCAAAAUUCUGGGCAAAUAUGUUCUGUAAUUCAGUAUCCAGCAUUUGGGGCACAUGGCAUGAUGUCCCCUCCAAAGGGCUUGUGUAGCUCCAACGCUGUGGCCUUGUUGAUCGCAGCCCAAGUGGCCUUUCUGUUGGCUCGUCUCUGCUUAAUUCCUGCAACUUUCCUAGAAAAUGUCCCCUGUUACUGUCAUUUCUUAAUCCCAGGGUUCUCCAUGGCAGCUUUGGCUUCCACUGAAGUCUCCAAGCCCUCUCAGGGGCUGCCCGCAGAGACUGACUAUGCUGCACUUUUCCUGGCCUCUCAGGCCUUCCUUUGAAAUCUUGGUGGAAACCUCCUGUCCCCUGAGCCCCAGCAUCCUGCAUCCCUGCAGAACCAGCACCAAGUGGUUGAUGCCAAGGUCUGCAGCCAUCUCAAGCAGGAGCCAAGCUUCCAAGUACCCUGGCUGAAGCACCUUCUGAGCAUCUGGGUGGCUGAGCAACUUGAAAAAACCCCCUUAUCCAAGAAGGAUGCCCCACUGGUCUCUAUUCAAGAGAAUUUUGACUUUUAUUCCCUGGAGCCUGAGAUGGGUGUGGUCUUGCCAGCUCUUGAGAUGCCCUCAAGCCAUCUUUCUCAUUGUCUCAGGCAAGGUCUUUAGCAUUUCUUUAGUGGCAGUGCCGGCUUUGUCUUUAAUGUUUGCAACUUCCUUAGCCCCAGUUUUGCUCCCAACUUUUAAGUCCAAGUUCCUAAAAUCUUUCUGCUCUGCUUUCUACUCCUAAUUAUCACAAUCAAUUUGGCUAAAAGCCACCAGUAAUAUCCAUGCCAUCACCUGAAUGCUAUGUUGCCUAGACAUUUCUUCCACCAGAAUAAGAAGUCCAUCCCUUUUAAAUUAGCCUCACCGAGAGUCUCAGGACAUGGGCAUAAUGCAGACAACUUCUCAGCCAGAACAUAACAGGAAUGGCCUCUAGUCCCGAUGUAUCAGGGGCCCACUUUGUGCUUUGAACACAGCCCUUGCUGCUCUGCCACUGCAAAUGAUUUUUAAAAUGGGACAUAUUUCUUUCUCUUCCUCUCUCCCUCCUUCUCCUUAAUCUCCCCCUGCCUAAUUUCAGAGAAAAUAGGAUUGCCUUACUUCCCCAUUCUAGGCAGAGUUGUCUGUCCCUGAGUAUACACCCACCAUAGGCCCCAGAUUUGGGGAUGGUCACAGCAGAUCUCAGAAACGACUAUCUUCCAAAUUAAUAAGUGAAUUGCAACUCCAACAGAGAACACCUUUGACUCUCCUCUUUAAAAGCCCCCUGUUCCUGUGGAUGGGCAGAAUCACAAACUCUGAAGCUGGAGUCCCCAGUGUUUCUCCUUUUCGAGCAAAGCAAUAAACCUUUUUCCUUUUUUUCUCAAAUCAUGUUCUUAUUAUUGGAUUGGCAUUGGGGGAAAAGGACUGAGAUUUCAGCAACAAAUUUGGCUUCCCAGAUGGGACCCAAGAACAGCCCCUGCUAUAGCUUCCUUGGGCAGGCCUGGCUCUGCAAGGAACCCCACUUCCAUGCUGAGGAUGCAAGGUUGCUGGCGAACUUGCUGAAAACCAACUGCAGGAGAGAUAGGAGUCAAGUGCGUUUGCCUCGAAUCAAACCAGAGGAGCUCUUCUGUGAGUAUAGGAGGAGACUGAGGGACCAUCUCAGCAGCUGCUGAAGCUCCUUUUGUUUCAGGGAACUCCCACCUUCUCUCCCUGAACCUGAAUGGUGCAGGUUGCUCCAUCUUGGUCCACUUCAAGAAAAAGGAAACAGAACUAAGUGAAGUUGCAACACUGUGAUUGUUUGGUAAGUCCCCAGUGGGCAGGCUGAGACCCUUUAUUACAGAUAUUGGAUUCCUCUUCAUGGGAACUACUGGUCCCUUUUGGUAUGGACAUCUAUGGCACUAUUGGUGUAGAAGUCACCGAUAAGUGGAACUCUGGAACCUCGGGAUAUUUACUGUCUUCUGAUCUGUUCUAGGGUCUGAUCUGCUUGUUGGCUGUGGGCUUGGGAAUUCCCUAUGGUCAUCUGUUUUGUUUGUAUCUGUUACUGCUCCUCUUAAGACAGGGCCAUAUUGAACCUAUGAUACAAAGAAAAGACCCUUGACUCCAAUUUUAAAUCAAAUCAUCAAAGCAAGUUUAUAUUGUGUACACAAGAGAGCUGAUCAGCGACCACCUCAUCCAAAUGCAGGGCCAGAGGACAGUGACUGGUCUAAGAGCAGGAAGGUUUUUAUAAUACAAAAAUUUAGAAAAGUGGGUGUCUUGGAAGCUUACAGUUGACAGGGUUCUGGCAAGCAUGAUACAAGGGCAGAAAGCAGGUUAAUGAUCUACAUGGCUUAAUAGCUCAAGGUAGGAAGUAAACUGAGAUUCCAAUAUCAAAGUUAAUGAGGAGAAGCUGAGAUUUCAGGGAGGGUUGUUAACUGGUCAGGGAAAGUCAGGCACAGGUAAGUUCAAAGUAUGGGCAGGAGUUCCAAGCAAGUUUAAAACAUCAAAGUGUGGUCAGGCCAAAUAGAAAUCUUAGGACUUUACAUUAAAACAGAAAUGGUGUUUUGAUGACCUUGUGACGAGAUGGCUCCCAAUCUUAAGAUGGAAUUAUGCUGGGUUCUUCAGCCAAUACUGCAUCGAUCCUAUAGGUAUCUCUAGGGAAACAUAUUGAAGAAAUUUGUACAUGCAUGUUUGUCUGUUUUAAAGGUUCCUGUCUCUCAUCCCUGGUUUUGGUGAUCCUGUCUUCAUUUUUUUUUUUUUUUGUAUUUGUUAUUGGCCCUUUAAGACGUGGGCCUUCAUGCAUUGAUCUUACUAGUAGUCUUUGGAGCCCAGAGAGCUUGGCUGAAUGUGCCAUGCAUAGGUAUAAACCUGUCUAAGAGAAGGACAGUUUACUGUAACGCAAUCUUACCUUUGAAUGGUUUUUCUGGAUUAUUAUACAAUUUAGAAUUUGAAGUAGGCCUGUCAGGGCUUAAGUAUAUGAAGGAUCCUGUAUGGACGGGCACUUAGGAAGUUGCAAGAUCAGGGUUCUCAACCAUCAGGAAGUAAGCGGAAGGUGCCAAAGGCGUUGCUGCUGGUGUGCAAGGAGACACCAGAGGAAAGGGUCAAAAGAUUUCAGUCUUUAAACCCAGAGCUGGCACUCCUAGCACUGUUCCUCGUCCUGGCCCCUGUCAGCUGCAGGUCAUCUCACUGUGAGUCAAGGACACCAGCCCUAAACCUGGGGGAAAAUCACAGAAAACUGCCUGGGCUCUAGAACAAUAGCCUAAGAGAGCCUGGCCUCUGUCCUGCCUUUCUGCCCCUUUUGUUCUGGUGUGUUGGGGGUGGAGGUGGUUGGCUACAAAGGAUGUGAUAGUAGGUCCCAUCUCUGUCAGUUUAUGACCUGGGGACAGGACUAGUCUCCACUGUUAAGAUCUGACAGGACACUCCAUUUGGCCAGGGGAUAUUCAUCACUGGGACAAGUGGUUCUUGCUACAACACUAUCCCAUAAACUAAAAGCCUGGGAAGACUGACAGGACAAAUAACUGCAUCCAGAAAAGAAAAAGACAGAAACUAAGGACAACCCGUGUUUCAUAGGCAGCCUCUGCAAAGGGAUCUUCAAGAACUCCUAAAGACAAAAAUGGAAAGGGCUUCUUGCAUUGCAUAUCAGUCUGCUAGUAUAAGAAAAGGCCCAAAAUGAGCCUCUGGGUACAAGUGACAGUGGGGAACUCACUUAAAGUUGAUGGCAUUGUGAUAGUGUUCAUGGAGACAGGUGAGGCUCAAAAAUGCCAUUGAAAGCAACACAGGAGAAAAAAGAUUAAAUCACAGUUUUUGUAUAUGCUGGAUUGUCCAACCCUCUCCUGGGAUGAAAUUCAUUGUGUAAAUUAAAUGCACAGAUAACAUUCAUAGGGAUUGUUUCAGAAUAUGAAUUUUAAAAAGGUUUCAAAACUAGAAAAGAUAAAAGAACUUUACAGGUAUAGAAAUAUAUUUUAAUAUGGAAAAUUAGAAGGUAAAAGAAAUGUUUCUGAAUGAGAAAGUGUUUUGUCUGGUAAAGCAAUAUUAUUGUGCCAAUGUCCAAGAUGAAUGAGGACAAAACUCAGGAGGUAAAGUUGUGAAUGUCUAAGUAAGUUGCACAAAAGUUGGGGAAGGUAAAUCUCAAAUAUUUUUUGUGUGUGAUUAAAUUGGAUAUAAUUUAUCUACCAAGAUAAUUUUCUUCAUUUGUUGGGCUUUAUUACUUGUGGAAAAUAAGUCUUAAAGUUUUAGGGUUUGCAUCUGUUUGAAAGUCUGAAAAGAUUACUUUGUAACUGAUUAAACAAACAACUGUUAUUUAUUUAUUUAUUUUUUUAAAAAAAUUUUUAUUGUUGGUUGUUCAAAACAUUACAUAGUUCUUGACAUAUCAUAUUUCACACUUUGAUUCAAGUGGGUUAUGAACUCCCAUUUUUACCCCAUAUACAGAUUGCAGAAUCACAUCAGUUACACAUCCAUUGAUUUACAUAUUGC